rnacentral:rRNA from 1 species
GACGAACGCUGGCGGCGUGCCUAAUACAUGCAAGUCGAACGCAGUGGGGACUGGUGAGUAACACGUGGGUAACCUCCCAUCAGAGGGGAUAACACUUUGAAACAGGUUCUAAACCUAAAUUGAUGGUUGGACCUGCGGUGCAUUCGCUAGAUGGUGAGGUAACGGCUCAGCAAGGCCACGAUGCAUAGGCGAACUGAGAGGGUGAUCGGCCACGCGGGGGCUAGGACACGGACCAACCUCCGACGGGAGGCAGCAGUAGGGAAUCUUCGGCAGUGAGCAGAAGUCUAACCGAGCAAAGCCGCGUGAGUGAGGAGGAUUUUCGGAUCGUAAAACACUAUUGUUAGAGAAGCGGUAUCUGACCAGAAAGCCACGGCUAACUACGUGCCAGCAGCCGCGGUAAUAC